AAGCAGAAGAAGCAGAGUUCAGCCUUGGUGUGAAUGCGGCUUUCAACACCAGAAUCCUGUGGGAAUGCUGACCAGAAGGGCAGAACCUUGGCCUCCCUAGGCUGACUGAGCCACAGUCUGCAUCUCCAGUGGGAUCCCCAGCUGAUUUGUAGACCCAGCACAUUCAGAAGCCAAAUACAGAUAGCUGAAGCCAUACCUCCACCUCUCACGGAGAGGCUCCAGACUCAGGAAAAUGGCUAGCGGUUCGUAGUCUAGAGCCAAUUUCAUUUUCUGACAAGUUCACUCAACAGUCUGGCCCCUUAAUUAUUUUUGUUUUCUACAAAGUGACGAAUCAAGGACUGUUAUGGAUCAAUACCAAAUGAGGAGGUGGAUUUCUUCUUCCUGCUUAGUGUGAAAAUGCUCGUGAAACAUCUCAAACCCUCUGGCUCUGCCUUCAUUUAAAAAGUACCAAAAUUCCUAAAAUGUUCAGUCUGCUAGCACAGACAGCAUCCUGCUCCAAUAUGGCAAUCUAAAAUAUCCAUCCAUAAUCUCCAGCGUCUGCUCUGUACUGAGCAUCAUAUUUUGACAUUCCAAGAAAAAUUCUUUACAGUAUUUUUGUUUUUUUUUAAGAAAAGAAAAAGGUAAUAAAAGGAAGGACUCAAAAAACAAAAAUAAAUAUCUUCUAAGGAUAAUUACUCUUCUUAAAAUGGUAAUAAUACAUAAGCUUUAAAAACAUUUAUGUUGGCAGAUUGAGACUCGCCAUAUUUUUAGUAGAUGCCUGUUGGCAACCACAGUUGGAAACAAUUAGUAACACAUUCAUUACAUAUCAAUUUACUGUAAAGGUUAAUAACACUUUGUUUUAUAUAAGAUCUUCACCAACCUUUCUGUAAUCUGUGAUGUUUCUUAACACUUUUUCCAAACCCUAAUAGUCUUUUUUUUUUUUUUUUGCACAGUGCUUGGUUCAGAGGCAUCAUUCAAUUAAAAAAUUGCUCACUAAGUGAAUGAAUCAAUGUUUAUGUUUCUAUGGAAAUUUCCUAAAUGAAUGUCUAUAAAAGUGUUUGAAUUUCAUAAACCCUGCAUUUACAGCUAGGGUGGGAUCUAGCCUCAGUUUAUACCCAGCUGUUCCUAUCAUUUUAAUGAAAGUAUAGAUAUUGAUUGAUCUGUCAUCAGAGUUUUUUUAAACAGCAAAUCAAUGAACUACCCAAAUAGAAAGAUUUUAAAAAGAUCCAAAAUGAAGUAUACAAAUAAACAUAACUAGUCAUUGGGAAAAUGCAAAUUAAAAUUCCAAGGAUACAUAGUGUCUAAUCUACCAGGUGGACAACAAACAAAAAACAAUGUGGAGUGUGGAGGGAUAUGGGCUCUACCAAAAAGACGAGAAGUUAAUGGCAUCAGAGGAUAUCUUGGUGAGCAAACUGAGCCAAAUCAACUAUGCUACAGUAUCCUUCGUAUGUGGGGGAAAGAAGAAAAGGAAAAAAGAAGAAAAAAUGACCUGGAAUGAGAAGAGUGGUUUCUAAAAACUGGGAAAGGUGCCAGAUGUGCAAAGAUAGAAGAUAGGCAGGUGGAGAUCACCAAUGAGUACCUGUAGGCACUCUACGCAGAAAUACCAAUGAAUCCCAGUAACUUGUACAAUUAAUAUAUACAUACAUGAAUGGAGGAAGGAAGGAAAGAAUGAAGAGGAAGGGAGGGACAAAGGAAGGGAAGAAGGAAGAAAGUCUGAGUCAAACCCCAGCCUUUCCACUCACUGGUCAAUGUGUGCUCCAGGACAGUAUUUCAAUCUGUAAGUACUCCAUAAUGGGAUAAUAUCAACAUCUGUCUCAUUAAAGGACUUUAACAUAUAAAGCACCCAUAACUCUAUGCUCAGUAGAAAGCAACUCUUUGAAAAUUUAGGAAGCACAACCUUUCUGGAACUGUUGCUCAAAUAUAAAUUAAUACUGUCCACUCCAGAAGGCAUUCAAUAUCUUCUGCUUAAAGUAAGAGUGGGCACAUCCCACCAGUUUGGGAUGUUUGGAGAGCCUACUCCCCAGGAACAUGUUACUUUGUUUCAUUUUCAGACUCUUUGCAGCAUUAGGUGUCAUGAAAAACAUCUGGAAACCACUUAAUUGAGGAAUGGCCAACUACACUAUUACUGAGUUACUAUGUAAUACUUCAAAUAACAAUGUAGUCUCUGUGGUGUUAUGUACUUGUCUAUAACAUGCUUUAAUAAAAAGAAUACCCAUCCAUA